rnacentral:rRNA from 1 species
GUGCCAGCAGCCGCGGUAAUACGGAGGUUCCAAGCGUUGUUCGGAAUUACUGGGCGUAAAGGGAGCGCAGGUGGGCGGUCCAGUCCAAAGUGGAAGCCCGGGGCUUAACCCCGGAAGUGCUUUGGAUACUAGCCGUCUUGAGUACGCGAGAGGAAGGCGGAAUUCAGGGUGUAGCGGUGAAAUGCUUAGAUAUCCUGAGGAACACCGGUGGCGAAAGCGGCCUUCUGGCGCGAAACUGACACUGAGGCUCGAAAGCGUGGGGAGCAAACGGGAUUAGAUACCCCAGUAGUCC